rnacentral:rRNA from 1 species
GCGAACGGGUGAGUAACACGUGGGUAAUCUGCCCUGCACUCUGGGAUAAGCCUGGGAAACUGGGUCUAAUACUGGAUAUGACCUUUCUCCUUAUGGGGUUUGGUGGAAAGUUUUUCGGUGUAGGAUGAGCCCGCGGCCUAUCAGCUUGUUGGUGGGGUGAUGGCCUACCAAGGCGACGACGGGUAGCCGGCCUGAGAGGGUGAUCGGCCACAUUGGGACUGAGAUACGGCCCAG